rnacentral:rRNA from 1 species
UACGAGGGGGGCGAGCGUUGUUCGGAAUUAUUGGGCGUAAAGGGUGCGUAGGCGGUUCCGCAAGUCCUGUGUGAAAUCUUCGGGCUCAACUCGAAGUCUGCACGGGAAACUGCGGGGCUUGAGUGUGGGAGAGGUGAGUGGAAUUCCCGGUGUAGCGGUGAAAUGCAUAGAUAUCGGGAGGAACACCUGUGGCGAAAGCGGCUCACUGGCCCGGUACUGACGCUGAGGUGCGAAAGCGUGGGGAGCAAACAGG